rnacentral:rRNA from 1 species
GCGAAAACUUUACAAUGCUAGCAACAGCGAUAAGGGAACCUCGAGUGCCAGGUUACAAAUCUGGCUGUCGAGAUGCCUAAAAAGCAUUUCAUAGCAAGGGCCGGGCAAGACCGGUGCCAGCCGCCGCGGUAACACCGGCGGCUCGAGUGGUAACCGUUAUUAUUGGGUCUAAAGGGUCUGUAGCCGGCCGGAUAAGUCUCUUGAGAAAUCUGGCAGCUUAACUGUCAGGCUUUCAGGAGAUACUGUCUGGCUCGAGGCCGGGAGAGGUGAGAGGUACUUCAGGGGUAGGGGUGAAAUCUUGUAAUCCUUGAAGGACCACCAGUGGCGAAGGAGUCUCACCAGAACGGACCUGACGGCAAGCGACGAAAGCUAGGGGGACGAACC